UACGUAUGGUGCAAGCGUUAUCCGGAUUUACUGGGUGUAAAGGGAGCGUAGGCGGCGCGUUAAGUCUGAUGUGAAAACCCGGGGCCCGACCCCGGGAGUGCAUUUGAAACUGCCAUGCUGGAGUGCCGGAGAGGUAAGCGGAAUUCCUAGUGUAGCGGUGAAAUGCGUAGAUAUUAGGAGGAACACCAGUGGCGGAGGCGGCUUACUGGACGGUAACUGACGCUGAGGCUCGAAAGCGUGGGGAGCAAACAGG
rnacentral:rRNA from 1 species